UACGUAGGGUGCAAGCGUUAAUCGGAAUUACUGGGCGUAAAGCGUACGCAGGCGGCUAUGUAAGACAGGUGUGAAAUCCCCGGGCCUAACCUGGGAACUGCAUUUGUGACUGCAUAGCUAGAGUCCGUCAGAGGGGGGUGGAAUUCCACGUGUAGCAGUGAAAUGCGUAGAUAUGCGGAGGAACACCGAUGGCGAAGGCAAUCCCCUGGGCCUGCACUGACGCUCAUGCACGAAAGCGUGGGGAGCAAACAGG
rnacentral:rRNA from 1 species